UAAGAUGAGACCCAUGAGGUAGAGCUGGAGAAUUAGAUUAUCCUUUGUUGUUGACACUGUUAAAAUUAGUUGAAGAGAGAUUCAGACACUUAUGAAUGAGUCUAUGAAUUAGUCUGAUAGCGAACAAAAAGUUGCAUUCUUUAUCACAACUUUAAGAUGUACAAGACUCAAAGUUUCUUAUAUCUUUAUUGUUCCCAAUAUUCAACAUUGCAUUAUGUUGAAAAUAUUGGAAACCAUAAAAAUCUAUGAAUUGAAAACUACAAACUAAUU